rnacentral:misc_RNA from 1 species
UAAUUUAAAUCAAAUUUGAAACAUGCUUUUAUAGAACUAUUCCACUUAUUCAGUGCCAUAUCAAUGAUUUCCCCUGAAGAAAAUCUAAUGAGGGAUGAAAAGUUCAAGGUCGUCCUAGUAUAUGAUGCCAAUGUAGGAAUGCAAACAUAUGGUCUUAAAAAAAAAUGCUAAUUAAUGAGUUUGUACAAUGAUUUGAAGUCUCUAAAUCAAUGCAUAAAGUA